UUGUACCUGACCCAGACUGGUUGGUAUUUUGUCCGAGCGACCUGGUCCAGGGGCGUCAUAAGGAGGCAUUUCCUCACACCAUCCCUAGGUACUCUCAUGUUCUGGAGUGUAGCACUGAUAAUCUGUCGCAUGUCAUGGCUGUGACCAAGUCAGGCCAUUACCUGUCUGACUUUGCAACCUUGAGUUCUCACCAUGUUCCCAAUUUUCAUCUCUUUCCUCCUCAUUGUUAAAAUAUCUAGUAUGGUUUCAUAGUUCACUUCCCCUGUCUGCCCACCUUGAUGACUAAAUGAGUAGGCGCUUGUUCUGAGGAGGCAAAUUAGAAAAUCAGCGUAAAGAACAUAGCUACCUGAAAAGUAUUGUGUGUUCUAUAACUGGGCUUAAACUGGGAUUUGUGGCUUAAUACUCUGCUGGAUUAUGUAUGUAAUCCUUGGCACCUCCCAUUAAUAGUGGAUGAUGACUAAAUGCUUGAUGGACAUUGAAUUAAUGGGGAUGGUAGCGAAUUAACAGCUUUAAAAAAUCUCUUUAAAAUGUUAAUAUGCCUGAGAAUGGAGAAUAUAACAUACGUGUUUCCCACACCAGGUAAAUGACUAGACCAUUAGUGAUGCUUGUGAUCUGCAUUUUCUUAUUCAACAGCAUCUUUGGACGUGUGAUUACGUGCCUACUCUGAUAUGGAAAUGAACCACCAAGAGCGGAGUAUCAGCAGUCCUCGUUAUACCCGAAGCACCUGACACAAGACAAGUUCCGUAGCACCUGACACAAGACAAGUUCCGUAGCACCUGACACAAGACAAGUUCUGUAGCCUUGGCUUCGCAGCAUGGACAGCAUUCUGCUCCUCUCCCACCCCAAAGGGCUGACCUGCUCAGCUACAUCAACAGCCUCCCUUGUACCACUUGACUCUGUCAGAGGAGAAUCCUACA